CCUGUUCCUGGGAUCACGUUCAUCCUGGGUAAUGACAUCGCGGGGAAGAGAAUUUUCCCCUACCUGAAGUUGCCCCAGAACCUGAGAUCUGCGCAAAUGAUGUUGCGGCGGAUUUGCCCCAGGUGUUGCCCCAGGUGCUUCUGACGCGGGCCCAGCAACGCAAGUUCGCCGACAUUAAUCUGGCCGAGACAUUUAUGUCCGACCCAGCACCUCCUUCAACAGAUAACGACUUGUUCUACAUUAGAAACAAGGGACCCAAUAAGGAGGCAAAAUGUAAAGUUGUGUGCAGUGCGGCGGAGGCUGACGAAUUCUUCAAGGAGUUUCACUUCAGUGACAUAGGCGCACAUUCUGGACAAAUUAAAACACCGGAUGCCAUUUCUCAGCAGUACUACUCGCCUGGCAUGUCAACAGACAUAGAGAAAAGGGAUGAAGGUCCCAUUUGAACUGAUUGGAAUAGACUUAAUUGGAAAGUUGGUCACAUCUGACCAGCAAAAUCAGUAUAUAUGUGUCAUAAUUGAUUAUUGCACCAGAUGGGACAGACUUAUCCAAUUAAAACCAAGUCUGAUAAAUAGGCGACACAGUUAAACAUUAAAAUUUGUUUAUCAAUAUGAAGUCCCUAAAGGGAUACUGACUGACCAAGGCAAAGAGUUUGUUAAUACUAUCAACACUGAGGUCUGCAAAGUGCUUGGCAUAAAGAGAAGCCUCUGUGCCCCAUACCACCCUCAGACCAUUGGAUUGGUGGAGAGGGUCAAUGGCACUAUACAGAGGUGA